rnacentral:rRNA from 1 species
AUUGAACGCUGGCGGCAUGCCUUACACAUGCAAGUCGAACGGUAACAGGUUAAGCUGACGAGUGGCGAACGGGUGAGUAAUGUAUCGGAACGUGCCCAGUCGUGGGGAUAACUGCUCGAAAGAGCAGCUAAUACCGCAUACGACCUGAGGGUGAAAGCGGGGGAUCGCAAGACCUCGCGCGAUUGGAGCGGCCGAUAUCAGAUUAGGUAGUUGGUGGGGUAAAGGCCUACCAAGCCGACGAUCUGUAGCUGGUCUGAGAGGACGACCAGCCACACUGGGACUGAGACACGGCCCAGACUCCUACGGGAGGCAGCAGUGGGGAAUUUUGGACAAUGGACGCAAGUCUGAUCCAGCCAUGCCGCGUGCGGGAAGAAGGCCUUCGGGUUGUAAACCGCUUUUGUCAGGGAAGAAACGCUCUGGGUUAAUACCUCGGGGUAAUGACGGUACCUGAAGAAUAAGCACCGGCUAACUACGUGCCAGCAGCCGCGGUAA